GACGAACGCUGGCGGCGUGCCUAAUACAUGCAAGUCGAGCGCAGGAAACUGACGGAACUCUUCGGAGGGAAGGCAGUGGAAUGAGCGGCGGACGGGUGAGUAACACGUAAGGAACCUGCCUCAAGGAUUGGGAUAACUCCGAGAAAUCGGAGCUAAUACCGGAUAGUUCAACGGACCGCAUGGUCCGCUGAUGAAAGGCGCUCCGGCGUCACCUUGAGAUGGCCUUGCGGUGCAUUAGCUAGUUGGUGGGGUAACGGCCCACCAAGGCGACGAUGCAUAGCGGACCUGAGAGGGUGAUCGGCCACACUGGGACUGAGGCACGGCCCAGACUCCUACGGGAGGCAGCAGUAGGGAAUCUUCCACAAUGGACGAAAGUCUGAUGGAGCAACGCCGCGUGAGUGAUGAAGGUUUUCGGAUCGUAAAACUCUGUUGUAAGGGAAGAACACGUACGAGAGGAAAUGCUCGUACCUUGACGGUACCUUACGAGAAAGCCACGGCUAACUACGUGCCAGCAGCCGCCGUAA
rnacentral:rRNA from 1 species